rnacentral:rRNA from 1 species
AAGCGCUUGCAACCAGACUUGAGCGCGGCGGUUCCCCCAGCCUUUUGGCUGGGCUACUCCGUCGUGUCCAGGCCAACAUCGGUUCUCGCGGGGGGAUAAAGGUCCUGGGAACGUAGCUCCUCCGGGAGUGUUAUAGCCCAGGGCGUCAUGCCCUCGCGGGGACCGAGGUUCGCGCAUCUGCAAGGAUGCUGGCGUAAUGGUCAUCAGCGA